CCUACGGGGGGCAGCAGUGGGGAAUUUUGCGCAAUGGGGGAAACCCUGACGCAGCGACGCCGCGUGAGCGAAGAAGGCCUUCGGGUCGUAAAGCUCAGUCAUUGGGGAUGAAAAGGACAGUACCCAAGGAGGAAGCCCCGGCUAACUACGUGCCAGCAGCCGCGGUAAUACGUAGGGGGCGAGCGUUGUCCGGAAUUACUGGGUGUAAAGGGCGUGUAGGCGGGGAUGCAAGUUACCGGUAAAAACCCGAGGCUCAACCACGGGCUUGCCGAUAAAACUGUGUCUCUUGAGUAUAGGAGAGGGAAGUGGAAUUCCCGGAGUAGCGGUGAAAUGCGUAGAUACCGGGAGGAACACCAGUGGCGAAGGCGGUUUCCUGGCCUAUCACUGACGCUGAGGCGCGAAAGCUAGGGUAGCGAACGGGCUUAGAUACCCCAGUAGUC
rnacentral:rRNA from 1 species